rnacentral:tRNA from 2 species
UCCCCAAUAGCUUAGCGGUAGAGCGUUCGGCUGUUAACCGAACGGUCGUAGGUUCGAAUCCUACUUGGGGAG